UACGUAGGGGGCAAGCGUUGUCCGGAUUUAUUGGGCGGAAAGCGCGUGUAGGCGGCUAGGUAGGUCCGCUGUGAAAACUUGAGGCUCAACCUCAAGAGGUCGGUGGAAACCAUCUGGCUAGAGUCCGGAAGAGGAGAAUGGAAUUCCUGGUGUAGCGGUGAAAUGCGCAGAUAUCAGGAAGAACACCCGUGGCGAAGGCGGUUCUCUGGGACGGUACUGACGCUGAGACGCGAAAGCGUGGGGAGCGAACAGG
rnacentral:rRNA from 1 species